CAAGGAAUUUUCGUCAAUGGGGGCAACCCUGAACGAGCAACGCUGCGUGGUGGAUGACGGCCUUCGGGUUGUAAACACCUUUUGGGGGGGAAGACGAGGACGGUACCCCCUGAAUAAGGCUCGGCUAACUCUGUGCCAGCAGCCGCGGUAAGACAGAGGAGCCAAGCGUUGUCCGGACUGACUGGGCGUAAAGCGCACGCAGGCGGCUCUGUGCGUGGGGUGUGAAAGCGGACGGCUUAACUGUCCGAGGCCAUUCCAUACGGCAGAGCUCGAGCGGUGCAGAGGUCCGCGGAAUUGCCGGUGUAGUGGUGAAAUGCGUAGAGAUCGGCAGGAACACCCAGGGGGAAACCAGCGGACUGGGCAUCGGCUGACGCUCAGGUGCGACAGCGUGGGGAGCGAACCGGAUUAGAUACCCGGGUAGUCCACGCCAUAAACGAUGGACACUCGGCAUCUGGCGCCGAUUAUCUCGGCGCUGGGUGCCCAAGCUAACGCGGAAGUGUCCCGCCUGGGAACUACGAGCGCAAGCUUAA
rnacentral:rRNA from 1 species